rnacentral:rRNA from 1 species
GUAGGUGGCAAGCGUUGUCCGGAAUUAUUGGGCGUAAAGCGCGCGCAGGUGGUUCUUUAAGUCUGAUGUGAAAGCCCCCGGCUCAACCGGGGAGGGUCAUUGGAAACUGGGGAACUUGAGUGCAGGAGAGGAAAGUGGAAUUCCACGUGUAGCGGUGAAAUGCGUAGAUAUGUGGAGGAACACCAGUGGCGAAGGCGACUUUCUGGCCUGUAACUGACACUGAGGCGCGAAAGCGUGGGGAGCAAACAGGAUUAGAUACCCUGGUAGUCCACGCCGUAAACGAUGAGUGCUAGGUGUUGGGGGGGUUUCCCGCCCCUCAGUGCUGCAGCUAACGCAUUAAGCACUCCGCCUGGGGAGUACGGUCGCAAGACUAG